AUACGGAAGGUCCAGGCGUUAUCCGGAUUUAUUGGGUUUAAAGGGAGCGCAGGCGGAGAUGCAAGCGUGACGUCAAAUUUCGGGGCUCAACCCCGUCUCGCGUCGCGAACUGCGUCCCUUGGUUGCGGGAAGGGGAGGCGGAACUCGUGGUGUAGCGGGGAAAUGCAUAGAUAUCACGAAGAACUCCGAUCGCGAAGGCAGCCUUCCGGCCCGUCAACGACGCUCAUGCUCGAAGGUGCGGGUAUCAAACAGGAUUAGAUACCCUGGUAGUCCGCACAGUAAACGAUGGACACCCGCGGUUUGGCCUGUAUGGCUGAGCCGCCAAGCGAAAGCGUUAAGUGUCCCACCUGGGGAGUACGCCGGCAACGGUGAAACUCAAAUGAAUUGACGGGG
rnacentral:rRNA from 1 species